CUGUUCUGUGGUAAUGCAGCAUUUCCUUUUAUUUACCUAUUUGUUAAUAUUUGUUUUAUAAUAUAAUAUAUUAUGUAUAUUAUAAGAAGUAAUGUUUAUAUUUUUGUUACAAUAUUGUCCGAAUCAAAAUCGUAUAGUUGUAUUUAAUUAUGAAUACAAAUAAUUGGUAUGUUUACAUAAAUUAUAAUUGAUUUCUAAAAGAUAGUGAGAGAAAAAUUAAAUGGUUUUCUCUGUUAGGAUUUAUUCAUAGCAUGAUAUUAAAAAGUUGAGCAAAA